GGGAAGGUGACUUAACGGCUCAGGCAUAAGUGACCAGUAUUUCAUUUCUGGAUUCAGAGUGAAAUACGAGCGAUUCCUAGUGAUUCUCAGCGAUCCCUAGUGAUUUUCAGCGAUUCUCAGCGAUUCUCAGGAGCAGAAGGAGAUAAAGAAGAAACACAAAAGUCUUUUUAAAGACUAUCAACUUUCGUUAGGAGCAGAAGAACAACUUGCCCAACCCAUUGUGGGUUAUUUGGAGGAAGGAACAUCAAAGAUGGGCAUUAGUGCAAGUAGCAGGAUGUACUACCAGUUGCGCUAUGAAAAGCACUCACGGUGGAUCUCGCCUGAUCUGGGCAUCUUUGAGAUCAGGGAUUUUGAGGAUCCACUCUCUGGCCCUUAUCUCGAGUGCAUCAGGGACAAGAUCACCUAUGACAUCAGGACUGCACUCUAUGAUCUGUGGAUGGCCAAGGACUGUGUAAAGAUUACAAAAUGGUGGAAAUUACAUCUUAAGAACGAGUUUUGGCAG